GGGCUCACUUCAGCAGCAUGUAGACUAAAAUUGGAACGAGAGAGAGAUCGGCAUGCUCCCUGCAUGAAGACGACACAAAUUCGGGAAGCGUUCCGUAUUUUU
ensembl:snRNA U6 U6 spliceosomal RNA